AAUGGGUCAGCGACUUAUAUUCUGUAGCAAGGUUAACCGAAUAGGGGAGCCGAAGGGAAACCGAGUCUUAACUGGGCGUUAAGUUGCAGGGUAUAGACCCGAAACCCGGUGAUCUAGCCAUGGGCAGGUUGAAGGUUGGGUAACACUAACUGGAGGACCGAACCGACUAAUGUUGAAAAAUUAGCGGAUGACUUGUGGCUGGGGGUGAAAGGCCAAUCAAACCGGGAGAUAGCUGGUUCUCCCCGAAAGCUAUUUAGGUAGCGCCUCGUGAAUUCAUCUCCGGGGGUAGAGCACUGUUUCGGCAAGGGGGUCAUCCCGACUUACCAACCCGAUGCAAACUGCGAAUACCGGAGAAUGUUAUCACGGGAGACACACGGCGGGUGCUAACGUCCGUCGUGAAGAGGGAAACAACCCAGACCGCCAGCUAAGGUCCCAAAGUCAUGGUUAAGUGGGAAACGAUGUGGGAAGGCCCAGACAGCCAGGAUGUUGGCUUAGAAGCAGCCAUCAUUUAAAGAAAGCGUAAUAGCUCACUGGUCGAGUCGGCCUGCGCGGAAGAUGUAACGGGGCUAAACCAUGCACCGAAGCUGCGGCAGCGACGCUUAUGCGUUGUUGGGUAGGGGAGCGUUCUGUAAGCCUGUGAAGGUGUACUGUGAGGUAUGCUGGAGGUAUCAGAAGUGCGAAUGCUGACAUAAGUAACGAUAAAGCGGGUGAAAAGCCCGCUCGCCGGAAGACCAAGGGUUCCUGUCCAACGUUAAUCGGGGCAGGGUGAGUCGACCCCUAAGGCGAGGCCGAAAGGCGUAGUCGAUGGGAAACAGGUUAAUAUUCCUGUACUUGGUGUUACUGCGAAGGGGGGACGGAGAAGGCUAUGUUGGCCGGGCGACGGUUGUCCCGGUUUAAGCGUGUAGGCUGGUUUUCCAGGCAAAUCCGGAAAAUCAAGGCUGAGGCGUGAUGACGAGGCACUACGGUGCUGAAGCAACAAAUGCCCUGCUUCCAGGAAAAGCCUCUAAGCAUCAGGUAACAUCAAAUCGUACCCCAAACCGACACAGGUGGUCAGGUAGAGAAUACCAAGGCGCUUGAGAGAACUCGGGUGAAGGAACUAGGCAAAAUGGUGCCGUAACUUCGGGAGAAGGCACGCUGAUAUGUAGGUGAAGCGACUUGCUCGUGGAGCUGAAAUCAGUCGAAGAUACCAGCUGGCUGCAACUGUUUAUUAAAAACACAGCACUGUGCAAACACGAAAGUGGACGUAUACGGUGUGACGCCUGCCCGGUGCCGGAAGGUUAAUUGAUGGGGUUAGCGCAAGCGAAGCUCUUGAUCGAAGCCCCGGUAAACGGCGGCCGUAACUAUAACGGUCCUAAGGUAGCGAAAUUCCUUGUCGGGUAAGUUCCGACCUGCACGAAUGGCGUAAUGAUGGCCAGGCUGUCUCCACCCGAGACUCAGUGAAAUUGAACUCGCUGUGAAGAUGCAGUGUACCCGCGGCAAGACGGAAAGACCCCGUGAACCUUUACUAUAGCUUGACACUGAACAUUGAGCCUUGAUGUGUAGGAUAGGUGGGAGGCUUUGAAGUGUGGACGCCAGUCUGCAUGGAGCCGACCUUGAAAUACCACCCUUUAAUGU
rnacentral:rRNA from 1 species